AAUAUUAUCGCUAUUUUACGAGAAGAAUCGCAUAAAAAAUGUAUUUUAAACAGCGUUUGACAUGCUUCGAAGUACGGUAAUGGAAUAUUUUGACAUUUUUUGUCACGAAAUGCGCUCGCGCGUCACCCUUCGGAUUGUGACCUGAACGCACGAACAAAACGGAGCUAUUUCAAUAUAACUAUGGAUUAUUUAGAACCCAAAAAACAUUUGUUGUAGAAGUCCUGGGAGUGCAUUCUGACGAAGAACAGCAAAGGUUCUCCAUGCUGGCGUUCUCCGAUGGGUUGAAGGUGUGGCGCCUGGCACUGCAGGAGCCUACAGAGGAGGCAUGCUGUGACGUGGUGCAGUGGGCAUAUCAACUCAACACCCAUGGAGGAACCAACAGCCUGGAGGACCUACAGGUGGCGAAUCGCAUCUCUGCAUGUCUGGCAGACAUAUCAGUGUGGAUGACGGAUCACCACCUCAAGCUGAACCUCGGCAAGACGGAGCUGCUCUUCCUCCCGGGGAAGGACUGCCCGUUCCAUGAGCUCGCCAUCACGGUUGACAACUCCCUUGUGUCCUCCUCCCAGAGUGCUAAGAGC
rnacentral:lncRNA from 1 species